GAUGAACGCUGGCGGCGUGCCUAAUACAUGCAAGUCGAGCGAACAGACGAGGAGCUUGCUCCUCUGACGUUAGCGGCGGACGGGUGAGUAACACGUGGAUAACCUACCUAUAAGACUGGGAUAACUUCGGGAAACCGGAGCUAAUACCGUAUAAUAUAUUGAACCGCAUGGUUCAAUAGUGAAAGACGGUUUUGCUGUCACUUAUAGAUGGAUCCGCGCCGCAUUAGCUAGUUGGUAAGGUAACGGCUUACCAAGGCAACGAUGCGUAGCCGACCUGAGAGGGUGAUCGGCCACACUGGAACUGAGACACGGUCCAGACUCCUACGGGAGGCAGCAGUAGGGAAUCUUCCGAAAUGGGCGAAAGCCUGACGGAGCAACGCAGCGUGAAUGAUGAAGGUCUUCGGAUCGUAAAACUCUGUUAUUAGGGAAGAACAAAUGUGUAAGUAACUAUGCACGUCUUGACGGUACCUAAUCAGAAAGCAACGGCUAACUACGUG
rnacentral:rRNA from 1 species